rnacentral:rRNA from 1 species
AACAUGUCUUUUUGUUUAAAAUAUAAAGUCUAACCUGCCCACUGAUAUAUAUAUUAAAGGGCCGCGGUAUUUUGACUGUGCAAAGGUAGCAUAAUCAUUUGUCUCUUAAUUGGAGGCUGGAAUGAAUGGUUGAAUGAAAUAUUAACUGUCUCAUUUUUAAAAUUUUAAAAAUUUAGCUUUUGAGUCAAAAGGCUUAAAUAAAUUUAGAGGACGAGAAGACCCUAUAGAUCUUUAUAAUUUUAUUUGUUUUGUAAAAUAGAAAAUUAAUUAAUAAAAUUAAUAAAAUUAUUUUAUUGGGGUGAUAGGAAAAUUAAUUAAACUUUUCAUUUUAUUUUAACAUUGAUUUAUGAAUAAUUGAUCCAUUAGUAAUGAUUAUAAGAUUAAGUUACCUUAGGGAUAACAGCGUAAUUUUUUUAGAGAGUUCAUAUCGAUAAAAAAGAUUGCGACCUCGAUGUUGAAUUAAAGGUUAUUUCUAGAUGUAGCAGUUUAGAGUUUAGGUCUGUUCGACCUUUGAAUCUUUACAUGAUCUGAG